rnacentral:misc_RNA from 1 species
GAGAGAGAGAGAGAUAUAGAGAUACGCUUCUCGAACCUACGAAGAAAUCGCUUAUUAGGGCAAAUUACCCUUGGAUUUACUGGUGAUUUUGCUUUCUGCUGAGACUCAGGAGCUUGAUUAUCCCGGAAAAGUUGUGAUUUUCUAGGAAAGUUUUGAGUUUUUUUGGAAUAAAGGUUUCGGAUUCCAGAAAGCAUAGUUGAGGGCAGGUUUUCCACAUUAGCCAUGAUGUUUUAUCAAAAUAUUAUUUGCAUCCUCAAUGGUGGGUAGAAGAUUCUGAGGAAUGUCAGACUUGCGCAUGUAUGAGCUUGAAGAUAAUGUGUGGGAUGCAUUUAGUGAGAGUGAUGACCAUAUAGUGCCUCAUCUUGCUAAGGAAUGUGG